GGCUAAGCGCUUUACCCAGACCUUCUUAGAAGGAAAUUCAAGACCUCUGCCACGCUAGGUUCAUCACAGAUGAUUCCCUUUUCCAAUCCAAAAGCUAAAAACUUUUCCUAUGCGUUGUGAUAGGAAGCGGAGGUAGAGCUAAUUGAAAUGAUUGGGGUUAUAGAUGAACUGCUGGACCCUGGACGAGCAAGUCCCAUCUCUGUGGAAGUAUCAUUGGGGCUCUUUGGCUCAUACGUAACAGAAGCAGGAACCAGG